UCAACUCAAAAAUAUUAUCUGUGCAAUUUUUACACAAAUGUGAGCUGCCCGGUGUCACACCACAAAAUAUCGUAUAUUUUCAAUAAUUUAUAUUUAUUCUUUCAAAUAUAUCGUUUAGUGCCUUUCAAUUAGAAAAAAUUGGAGAAUAAAGUAUGGAAAGAAGGUGACGGUCAUAUCUAUAGUAUUGACCAUUAAAUCUGAAUACUAAAUAGACGCAUUGUGGAUUCGUCCAGUGAUGGUGUUAGAUGCGCCUGCACCGUUGUGAGGGGUGCCUCGCGGCCUGCCGGCCUCCGCGCCGCGCAACGCCGCCAUACGAAAUACCGAGAGACCUCG